rnacentral:rRNA from 1 species
AGGAUCUUCGGCAAUGGGCGCAAGCCUGACCGAGCGACGCCGCGUGAGCGAUGAAGGCCUUCGGGUUGUAAAGCUCUUUAGUGGGGGAGAAAAGCCCGCAAGGGUGUGAUCUAUCCCAAAAAUAAGCACGGGCUAAGUUCGUGCCAGCAGCCGCGGUAAGACGAACCGUGCGAACGUUGUUCGGAAUAACUGGGCUUAAAGGGAGCGUAGGCGGGCUAUCAAGUCUGGGGUGAAAUCCCACGGCUCAACCGUGGAACUGCCUUAGAUACUGACGGCCUCGAGGGAGAUAGGGGCAUGCGGAACUGUAGGUGGAGCGGUGAAAUGCGUUGAUAUCUACAGGAACUCCGGUGGCGAAAGCGGCGUGCUGGAUCUCUUCUGACGCUGAGGCUCGAAAGCUAGGGGAGCAAAC